rnacentral:rRNA from 1 species
GACGAACGCUGGCGGCGUGCUUAACACAUGCAAGUCGAACGAUGAAGCCGGAGCUUGCUCUGGUGAAUUAGUGGCGAACGGGUGAGUAACACGUGAGUAACCUGCCCUUGACUCUGGGAUAACUGCGGGAAACUGUAGCUAAUACCGGAUACGACCCUCGGAGGCAUCUCCUGGGGGUGGAAAGAAUUUCGGUCAAGGAUGGACUCGCGGCCUAUCAGCUAGUUGGUGGGGUAAAGGCUCACCAAGGCGACGACGGGUAGCCGGCAUGAGAGGGUGACCGGCCACACUGGGACUGAGACACGGCCCAGACUCCUACGGGAGGCAGCAGUGGGGAAUAUUGCACAAUGGGCGCAAGCCUGAUGCAGCAACGCCGCGUGAGGGAUGACGGCCUUCGGGUUGUAAACCUCUUUUAGCAGGGAAGAAGCGAAAGUGACGGUACCUGCAGAAAAAGCACCGGCUAACUACGUGCCAGCCGCCGCAGUAA